rnacentral:rRNA from 1 species
AUACGGAGGGUCCAAGCGUUAUCCGGAAUCAUUGGGUUUAAAGGGUCCGCAGGCGGUCAAUUAAGUCAGAGGUGAAAGCCCAUCGCUCAACGAUGGAACUGCCUUUGAUACUGGUUGACUUGAGUUAUACGGAAGUAGAUAGAAUAAGUAGUGUAGCGGUGAAAUGCAUAGAUAUUACUUAGAAUACCGAUUGCGAAGGCAGUCUACUACGUAUAUACUGACGCUGAGGGACGAAAGCGUGGGGAGCGAACAGGAUUAGAUACCCGGGUAGUCC